GUAACUGUUUAGGUGACCAGGCCCCACAGCAGAGGUUAGAAAGUUGAGUUUACUUCCAUUGUCUCCCUCACAGUGCUAGUCGCCUACAUGCCACUUCACCUUGAGAUCAUUGAUCUCAGCCAAUGCAAUGCUUCCCCAAAGGAAAGCAUUUGGAGACUAUUGUGCUUGCACGGCAAAAUGCCACACUGCAUCAUUCAGACCAUCUGAUUAAAAUAGAGGAAUAUUCCUCUACUGUUUCAGGGGACAUGCCUCUAGUGGCUGUUGACAUGACAGCCCUAGAGACAGCUUAACCCUG